CUCAGGGUGGACAAGGACCCUCCAGGCGCCAGUCCCACCUGCCUCAGAUGCAGGGGCAGCUCCUUCCAGAGCCAGCAAGCAGAGGACAAGAUGCAUGCUGAGCCCCACCAGAGGUGGCUGGGGUCCGGGGCCAGCCACUCAACCAGGCUUUCUGCCCAGAUCCCAAAUCCAAAGCUUCCAGAUGACUGGGGCAGGACAUGCUCUUACCCAGAACCUUCCCUGGCCUUCCUACGUAGAACCUGCCCUUCAUCACCUCCCUUCCCAAUUCAUACCUCUAGAAACCCCACCUGACAUUUAACAGUCAAUCCCAAGUAAACCCCUCCAUGAAGGAAGGUGGGACCUCACCUCCUGGGGUCUUCCCAGGCCCACGGCUGUACCUCUCCUAGGGCCCUUUCUGCCUGGUAUCAGCAGUCCAUGCCCAUUUCUUUUGCUCCCCAUUGGUCUGCAGCAGCUGGAGUGCAGGGUCUGUGGCCCGUUCAUCUCUGUAGCUUUGGACACAGAGACCAAGUAUGGAUCCUACCUCUGCUUUAAAAGCUGUGUGACCUUGGCUUCCAGAAAGGCUGUAUGAAGAGCCAGGAGCCCUCAUUGCCCAUGGCAUCCAGUGUCACCCGCAUGGCGUUCUUCUCCAGCAGCGCCGGCAGGCGCUUGUUCACUGUCAGGGGACCUGCGAGCAACCACCAGGCCCUCACAUUGCACACCAGGCAUGUGUCCAAGGAACCCAAGAUGUGCCAGAGACCUGGGGCCACUCAUACUGCAAACUCACAGGACGACCGUGCUCAGCCAGUCCCCUCUAAGGACCCCAAGGCUCCAACUCUAUUAAAUGAGGAGAGGUUAAGACUGGUUCUCAAACUGGGUUCCCUGGAGCUGCUAUCUCCAGGAGCCACUGCUAAUUCCAUGUAUAGCUGUAUAGGUCGCUCACUGCACCAUGACAUCCAGCUGAAGGGCUGGGUGGGGGCUGAAAUCCAAUCCACAUUCCCUCACUGAGCCAUGUGCCCUGGCAUAGGGCUGUGCCAGCCUAGAGGAAAAGGCACCCUCUUCUAACUGGCACAGAGGGGUCGUGUAGAUGAGGGAGUCAGUGGAGAGCACUCUAUUUCCCCCACCUCACUUCAUUCACACCACUUGGCUCAGUGGUAAAAGCCACUCAGCUCAUUUUAAAAACCACUUGACUCACCCACGAGGCCCUGUCAGCUCUGAUGAGCAGUGACCCCGCCACAUGCACCCAGGUGCCUGAUGCACAGCCACAGGUGCACAGCUACACAC